UCACCAUCGUGCUCGAGUUUGGGAGCAUCGUGGAUGGGAGGAUCGUCAUGUGGAUCUCGGUUUCAGAGUGGAUCUGCCCGAGUUUUCUGGUACGUUGCAGGCUGAAGGAUUUAUUGAUUGGCUGAAUGAAGUGGAGCGGAUUUUUGAAUAUAAGGAGGUUCCAGAUCAUGUCAAAGUGAAACUGGUCGCCAUCAAACUCAAAGGUAGGGCAUCUGCAUGGUGGGAACAGUUGAAGCGUUCACGGGAGCGACAGGGGAAAUCCAAAAUUACUAACUGGGAGAAGAUGAAGAAGAAGAUGAAAGGGCACUUCCUCCCUUUCGGCUAUACUCAAACAUUGUUUCAGAGGCUUCAUUCACUAAGGCAAGGCGCAAGAUCAGUCAAUGAUUAUACUGAAGAAUUCUAUCAGUUGGUGGCUCAGAAUGAUUUAUCUGAGACAGAGGAGCAGAUGGUAGCACGGUAUUUGGGGGGAUUAAGGCAGCCCCUGCAGGAUGUUCUCAGCCUUCAUUCAUUGUGGACAGUUUCUGAGGCAUAUCAGCGAGCACUUGCAGUUUAGAAACAGCAAA
rnacentral:lncRNA from 1 species